ACAAAUACUGAACGACACUGACCAUUUCCCUCUUGCCAAAGAUUGUAGCCUCUCUUUCCAAAGUCUAAUAGCUUCCCAAUCCUUUCUUCUCUAAGAAGUGCUCUCUCUUUUCAGAAUACUUGUUGAAAACUCAUAUAUCAUAAAUGAACUACAUUAAACUCUCAAGAACCAGGAAGUCCAGUGGUGUCUGAGAAGAAUCAUAACUCAGGCCCAUCUGGGGAUGCUGUGUGGAAGGCUACCCUCCUCCUCUGUCACUGCACAAGGAUCUGGGAAUUGGUCCCUUUGGGACCAAUCUUGGUUCUGCUGAGUAUGGGUGAACUAACUCAUCAGGAGGAGGAAAGAUUCUACAGCUGCUGAAUCCAUCCAUCAAGCUCUGCCUUGUUGUACAUCACAACUCCCUGGCCCCCACUCCAAGAUUCACAUCUUUCCUUGGUCCAAGCUAAGGUGGCACAGACACUGGUUACAUAAUUAACCAUCGUAAACAUACUCCAAGAGCCAGCUGAAGACCAUUGACAGAGAACAGAAGGCAGCCACGGAAGCGGUGGUCAGAGCAUUAAUGGACGUGCAGCAGUGGUCAGAGCAUUAAUGGACAUGCAGGACGUGGAAGAACGAGCCUGAGAUUCUCAAACAGUACCUCAGCUGAGGUGGAAAGAUACCUUCUUCCCCUCCAAGACCAUGACAUGCCAAAUUUCAAAGCACUUUCUCAGGAGUUGCAUGAGCAAAUGUGUCCAGCUGUUCUGAUCUUCAAGAAGGGCAGGGAAGAAAUGAGAGGAGCCAGCUGUUCCCGAGAGCACAUUUUGUCUUCCUUCCUCCUCUCCCAUGCUGAAUCCAUAGCACAGAAUUUAGCAUGACUAUGGUAAGACUUUAGUAUCAGAGGCAGAUAUGGGGAUCCAGGUGUACAUCCAUCCCAAGUGAAUCACAGCCCGAAGAACUGAAACCUUGGAGAGUCAGACUUACAUUGUGCGGUGUGCAGGAAGACUGCCUUACUUGGUCCCAGGGUUCCAAGGAUGGGCUGGGAGAGGAGGUAGGAACUCAGUGUUGCCUGGUGGUGUUGGAGUCAGAUGUGGCUGUUGUGUAAGAAUCAGGAUCUGCUCCCUUCAUCUCUGGGCAGCAGGAGUUUCAGUCUUCUCGGUGUCAGCUGGCCUCCCUGGCCUUUCACACUCGAUUAUACCCUGCCCCGAAAGCUCUGCACUGACUCUCGGACCCA